AGUCUUUGCCAACACACAUCCCUCCUACAGCACUUCCAAACUGUACCCACGCUAGAUAGCUUUUUCCACAUAGAUGAUUUUUUCCACUUCUCCAGCAGCAUCAGCUCAGCAUAUUGUCUUCUCUGCCCUGGAAGAAUAUAGGGAAGAAUGCCAAGAUGAACAUCAGUUUGAACUCCACAGGGGUGAUUUUGCUAUCGAGGAGCUUUUGUUGAGGAAGACAGAAAUUGAGACACUGACAACCAUGAACCAACCCCUCCAGAUCGGCUGUUUCAUACCUGGCAGAGAAGAGAUAGAUGUUCAGGCGUUUCUUUUCCCCAUUUGCCAAACCAGUGCAGAGGAAAGACAAAGGAUAUCUAUCCACAUCCAGCAGCUGGAGCAAAGGGAAGAAGGACACUAGAAGAACUGAAGUUUUCCUUCCAGUCCUAUUUCCCAUCAGUCUAUUCAUACAUUCUUCUUCUGGUGGGACAGUCAAGGAACAGCAAUGGUGUUUUACAUAUUUUUUCUUUCUGAAAUCCUGAAAAGUCCUUAUCAUCCACUCUGUGCAAUAUACCAUGACUCAAAACUCCUCAGGUCUCUGUUUUUGUUAAACUAAUCUCUUGGGACCAGUAGUGUUUGGAGUACCAUAGUAACACAAAUCACAGUUCAACUCCUUAUGUCUAGCAAAAUAAAAUUUAAUUUAAAAAAAAAAUACCAGAUAAAGUAUAUAACAAAUUUCCAUGCAGGAACUGGUGAAUAUCAUGAAAUGUAGUGUUUCAGAAAUGAAAGCUAUUAAAAUUGUAUAACCCGUAAUUGAUGUCUUUGGUCUGAAGACAGUAAGAGUCUUUAUCUGAUGGUCAUUCUGGAUGUGGUGGCAAAAGGUACAUCAUUAGACAAAACAAAGAGAUAUUAAUGCAUAUAAUCAGUGGUUCUAAACAAAAGGAAGUCUGAAAGGAAAGAUACAAAAAGAAGUCUGAAACCAACCAAAUCAUCCUGGCUGCAGAAUAUGAACAGCUCUUUAAAAAUGAGUAAUGCCAAUUUCCAAUGAGGGAAACUAAGUAUACUUGGAUAGGAAAAGAUGAGAAUUCCUUUGAAUCUUGUCAGAAAUUAAACUAAUAAAGUGUUGCAUUAUUUCUCCUGUCAGCAAGCAGGGAAACCCAUGACUGGGCUUGGACUAUGGCUUUCUUUUCAUUACAAGAGACAGUCUGGCCCCAGCUUAGCAGCGUACGCAUACAUGCACUGAAUUAUAAACACUUGCGUAGGAUCAUUUGGAUAUACUCAAGUAGAGACUCUGAGGAGAGAAAUCUGCCUGAAAUCACUCACAAACAAAACAGGAAGUACAGUAGUGCCACCUCACAAUCCCAUCAAUUUAGGGAAAAAAAUAAAUUGAUAUAUCCCUUUUAUUUUAUUGUAACCUUGCCAUGGCUAUACUAGAACAGAGUCUGAUUCCACUAGCUCUGACCUGAGUAGGCUUGAGGCUUUAGUACACCAUAUUGUGACAGGACCAUUUUGGUAUACAUUAAACAUUAUGUGCAUCUGUCAUGUUGGAUAUAGAUAACACCAAGAACAAAAAAUUGCAUUUCAGAAAGACUUUUGGGUUUCAAGUCAUGUUCAUUUUGUAUGAAAUUUAAUGUUUGUUUUGCACAAAAUCCAAAAUGUAAAAAAUCUUUGUAAAAAAUAUUUUAAGAUAUUUUGAAUCCACUGAAACUGAAACAAAGAAAACCAAGAUACUUUAUUAUGAAAAUGUGAAAAUACAACGUUUUGAAAGUAUCAGAGCUCUUUGCCUUCUUCUUGUUUCUUCAGAAGGAAUGUAUCAGAGAAGUAGACACAUUCAUUGACAGACUACUAUUUAGUAUCAAGAUGUUUCUGACAAGCCGUAGCAUGAAGAUUUAUUUGCGUUACCUUUUGUCUGCCUGUACCAAACACAAAACAAAGAAAUGCAACUACAUUACCAAACUAUAUUGAUUAACUUCAAUAUCUCAUCUUUAACACUAAAGACUCUAGAUGCAUCUCCAUGGUAGGAUCCAUGGUUUUAUACAAAUACCUGACCUAGUGCCUCCAAUAGAUUUUCAAACAAGCAAAAAAAUUGUCCUCUUUCUAAAUUUGCAGUAGUGACAUCUGUGCUUUGUAUGAUUACAGUAUUCCUUCUCCUCAGGCUUGCUGACUAAACUUUCACCGAAAAAGGGCACUUUUUCAUUGCUAAUAUAAUGUUAGUAAUUAAAGAACAUUUCUUAAUUUCUUUCUUAGAAAUUUUUUACACUAUCACUCUUUCAUUAGGUUAGUUAGUACUUUAAAGAUAUAAAUACAAAUUUUAAACAAGGUUGGACUGCAACAAGACAAAUUCAAACAAUACAACAACAACAACAAUAGCAAUAAAAAAUAAAGAUAAUAACAUUCAUACAACUAGAAUCUUUUAGAGGAUAGAAUUGUUAUAAUAGUUCAAAUGCAGUACCAGAGUUUUUUAUCCCUCUAAAAUAGUCUCUGUUGGUCGAGACAGUUAUUAAUAGAAAUAAAUAACAAUAUCUUGACCUGAUGAGAUUUGAAGGCAGAUGAAAUUACUCUAGACUGAAGUAGAGCUUUCAUAAACUGUGAAUUCUUGAGCCAGAAAUCUUUCUCCAGUUUUAUUGCAAGUGAAUCUCGGAUGUUACCUUAUAAAAUUGCAGACAUAAAAUACAAUUUUCAAGUUGUUACAUGGUUACAAAUUAAUAUGUAAUGUGUUGAUAGUCAUUUGAUAACUCUAAAUGAGCAAUAAAGAAUGUUUCAAUGAAAAAAAA